rnacentral:rRNA from 1 species
AUUGAACGCUGGCGGCAGGCCUAACACAUGCAAGUCGAGCGAGCGGCGGACGGGUGAGGAAUGUCUGGGAAACUGCCUGAUGGAGGGGGAUAACUACUGGAAACGGUAGCUAAUACCGCAUACCAUCAGAUGUGCCCAGAUGGGAUUAGCUAGUGGGUGGGGUAACGGCUCACCUAGGCGACGAUCCCAAGCUGGUCUGAGAGGAUGACGAUCCACACUGGAACGGAGAAACGGUCCAGACUCCUCCGGGAGGCACGAGUGGGAAAUAUUGCACAAGGGGCGCAAGCCUGAUGAAGCCAGGCCGCGGAUGUGAAGAAGGCCUUCGGGUUGUAAAGCACUUUCAGCGGGGAGGCGUUACCCGCAGAGGAAGCACCGGCUAACUCCGUGCCAGCAGCCGCGGUAAUUC